UGCCAGACCCACAUCAGCAAACUGGGGCUGGGGCUGGGCGUGGGGCUGGGGCUGGGGCUGACCCUCCUCAUCCUGCUCAUCCUCUGCAUCGUCCUCUCCAUCUGCUUGGCCCAGGGGAAGAGAAAAACGCCCAGCACCAGCGAGGACCAUAGCUGGCCAGACGGCAAGCGCAACGCUCGUGCCACCGGCAUCUACCAUGUCAACGGCAGAGGCUCGACGCCACGUCAAGGUCCCUACGCACACAGCUCCUACAGGACCAAC